rnacentral:rRNA from 1 species
UACGGAGGAUCCAAGCGUUGUCCGGAUUUAUUGGGUUUAAAGGGUGCGUAGGCGGAUCUUUAAGUCAGUGGUGAAAUCCUGCAGCUUAACUGUAGAACAGCCAUUGAAACUGAGGAUCUUGAAUUUGGUUAAAGUAGGCGGAAUGUAUCAUGUAGCGGUGAAAUGCUUAGAUAUGAUACAGAACACCGAUAGCGAAGGCAGCUUGCUGAACCAAUAUUGACGCUGAGGCGCGAAAGCUAGGGGAGCGAACGGG